rnacentral:rRNA from 1 species
CCUACGGGUGGCAGCAGUGAGGAAUAUUGGUCAAUGGACGAGAGUCUGAACCAGCCAAGUAGCGUGAAGGAUGACUGCCCUAUGGGUUGUAAACUUCUUUUAUAUGGGAAUAAAACGUUCCACGUGUGGGAUUUUGUAUGUACCAUAUGAAUGAGGAUAGGCUAACUCCGUGCCAGCAGCCGCGGUAAUACGGAGGAUCCGAUCGUUAUCCGGAUUUAUUGGGUUUAAAGGGAGCGUAGGUGGAUUGUUAAGUCAGUUGUGAAAGUUUGCGGCUCAACCGUAAAAUUGCAGUUGAAACUGGCAGUCUUGAGUACAGUAGAGGUGGGCGGAAUUCGUGGUGUAGCGGUGAAAUGCUUAGAUAUCACGAAGAACUCCGAUUGCGAAGGCAGUUCACUGGACUGCAACUGACACUGAGGCUCGAAAGUGUGGGUAUCAAACAGGAUUAGAUACCCCGGUAGUC